rnacentral:rRNA from 1 species
CAGCCGCCGCGGUAAAACGAAGGGUGCAAGCGUUAAUCGGAAUUACUGGGCGUAAAGCGUGCGUAGGCGGUGAGUCAAGUCUGCUGUGAAAUCCCCGGGCUCAACCUGGGAAUGGCAGUGGAUACUGGCUCGCUAGAGUGUGUCAGAGGAUGGUGGAAUUCCCGGUGUAGCGGUGAAAUGCGUAGAGAUCGGGAGGAACAUCAGUGGCGAAGGCGGCCAUCCGGGACGACACUGACGCUGAGGCACGAAAGCGUGGGGAGCAAACAGGAUUAGAUACCCCGGUAGUCCCUGUCUCUUAUAC